UACGGAGGGUGCGAGCGUUGUUCGGAAUUAUUGGGCGUAAAGCGCGUGUAGGCGGCUCCUUAAGUCUGAUGUGAAAGCCCCGGGCUCAACCUGGGAAGUGCAUUGGAAACUGGGGAACUUGAAUACGGGAGAGGGUAGUGGAAUUCCUGGUGUAGGAGUGAAAUCCGUAGAUAUCAGGAGGAACACCGGUGGCGAAGGCGGCUACCUGGACCGAUAUUGACGCUGAGACGCGAAAGCGUGGGGAGCAAACAGG
rnacentral:rRNA from 2 species